rnacentral:lncRNA from 1 species
CUGAGACACGAAGCCUGGAAACAAUGUGUGUGUGGGGGUGACUUUUCUGCAUGGCCAACGUGGAGGAAUGGCUGGACAUGAUCCAUGGAGGGCCACCCAGCAGUUUGGAUGAAGAGUCUGGAUUAGAAACUUGGAAUUUUCAUGUCAUCCUCCCAAACUCUGCAAACCUGGUCCACGAAACCAAAGUUUUCUAAGACUUUGAAGCCCAAAGUGGGAGGAGGAUUAUCCAGAAGGACCCGGGAAUGAGCAUUCUCUGUAAUGAGCAAAAGCAAUGAGAGUGUGGGAUAUGGGACAUCGUACAACUCAGAAGAUGAUCCGAGGACAUACUGAGCCGUGGUCAAAGGAGCAGGAAUGACAGAGCAGCACUGUAUGCUAUCUAUAGUUUCUUGCAUCUGUGCAUUUGUCUAAGUUAACAAUGGCUUGCACACUCAUCUUAUACUGUGUCUGUUGACCUCAUAAAAUCGUAUUAAAACUGUCUCUUUACCUACUGUUAAGCAUAAUUAUUAGGGACUUUGGGGUCCUACUUAAUGAAUUAUGUCUGCGUUGUGGUAGCACUUCUUGAUCAUUUGUUCUAUUUGAUGUCAUACUUGGCGAAUCUUUUCUUUCCCUUGGUUUGCUUUCUAGGGACAAACAAGCCAACUUCAUAUUAUUAUAAGAGUCCCA